GAAUCAACGGAAGGGCUCGCUACUGGUCUGUCCGUUUCACUGGUAUUGCUUAUUGCUGUAGCGAUCAUUGUUGUUCUGCUGUUAUUGAAAAGGAGGGGACUUCUAACAAAGUGCUACAGGCAAAAUGGUGAAAAAAACAACCAAACCGAGGUCACAGCAACAGAAAUAUCUUUCAUAUCAACACCGAAAUUUGAACCUACUACAAACAAAAUGAAUGAAUUAACAGCCACAAAUCAAUCUUAUUUUGUGCUUGACAACACAUUAAAUGGAGAAACCAUAGAGGAUAACGAUCACUAUGCAGAUCUGGAUGCGACCGAUGUUAACCAUUUUGAAUUGACGGAAACCUCACAGAAAGAUACUGAUGACGAUUACGACAUAACCGAAGGCAAACAUGGCUCAGCUAAGUCUGGAUUGGCUAAGCCAAAUAACAAUUAUUACAAAGUCUCUUUACAUCAAACUAAUGAGUACGAUCAUAUAAAUCAUAAUGAGUUGCCGCCCAAAUCGGAUGGACAAACUGAAAAUGAUUACGAUUUAUCGAAUAACGUUAUCGACGGCAAACGAAAUAUGAGUUUUAGAGAUGACAUUGAUACCUAUAACCGUUUGAACAUACAUGGAUCGGAGAACUCAGGAACGGACAACGUUUAUCGAAAGUCGGAAGCAGAUGGCAAAAGUGAAUAUGAUACUUCCAAUGCUCUUUAACUUAGCAGGAAUAUAGCUGCAGAAGAUCUGUUAAAUGAUAAUUCGAUGAUAAAAUGGAAAUGGUAGAAAUAUUUGUUGGUUAAAUGAUAUUAAUGCUCGUGAUUUUGUCAUCUAAAUUCUUAUGGAAGAAAACAACUUGCUUAUGUUGAUAGUUAACUGAAUCAUGGCAGAUGUUUCCGAUCAAUCCCAUUUUUGUAGAUAUGCAAAAUAUUUUUCUUCUGUUAAAUAAAACAUUAUUUGUAUGAAAAGAACACCCACCUAACUAUCAGUGACGCAAAACAUGAUCGCAAUGUCAGUUUCAACUUUUCAAAGAUUUUUUUUAAUAACGGUACGCGGUUCUUGCGAGUGUUAUUUAAAGCUAUUAUUAAUAUAUCUGCUCUAAGUGAACCCAAAUCAACCUGUGCAUGUAUGGGUGUUUUGUAUUGUAUUGAGCCCAACUCUUCAGUAGUAUGUUCCAUGUUAUACGUAAACAAGACGCCAACUAGCUGACGGCGACAGUCGAUGUUUAAUUGAUGUAUGAAGUUGAUAUGCUGCACUUAAUUCUAAAAACUAUUUUGGGUUUUGGCGGGGCCAUGGUCACGAUCAGUCAAUGUUCAGAACUGAACUUUGAAAUGCUAAUUUUAAUUGCAUUAUUAAGUAGUAAACCGUGUUUUCAUAAUUCAUGCUUUAUCAUGCUUUCCAAAUCUGUAUUUGUGUUUUUAGCUCAACUGAGCAAAAAAGUGCUCAGCUUGAGCUAUUGUAAUAGGGUGAUUGUCUGUCGUCUGUCGUCAUCGUCCGUCCAGUCGUCGUUAGUCGUGAACAUUUACUUGAAACAGCUUUUUCUCCUAAACAACUAGUAGGAGAAUUUCAACCAAACCUCACAGGAAUGUCCCUUGGGUCCCAAGAGUCCUUCAAUAAAAGUGGUUGCAAACAGAACUCUGCUUGCAACAUGACCGCAAGGGGUCGGACUACGUUUAACUUCAUGUCUAUAUGGAACUUUGCGAAAAUUUUCUUCUCAGAAUUUGCUGGCCCGACUUUAAAAUAAUUGUACAAAAAUAUUCUUUAGUUGACCCUCUGUCAAAUUCCUAAACCCAAUGUUGAUUCAUAUAAAAAUAUCACUUGCGACGAACGGGUUUGAUGCGUCCACUAUGUUUUCCGAUCAAUAACUUUAGAACCCUUUUUCCAUUCAGGUAAGCGAAAUAGGGUCUUCUUGGACCUCUUGUUUAUCGCAUAGUGUUCGUUUCGAGUUUAAAUAUAAAGUUUCUUAUAGCUAAAGACACUCAGGUCUGUCAAUCAGGGGUCGUCAAUACCGAGUCAAGCCUUGCAAAAAAGAAAUCAUUUAUCAAAGAGUCAUUAGCAACUCCUCGGCCAUUUUUAUCGAAAACAACUUCGGAUUUAUUUGGACGGUUUACAUACUCAAAAAGUGGUACGUUUCAGUCCGCUGCAAGUAGACCGCGUAUUGAUUUUAUUUAGCAGUUAAACUUUAUGACGUAACUCUUGUAAAUCUUAAUUAUGUUUGCCAAAAUACACUUCACUGGCAACCAAUUUCAUCUUAGAUCAAUAAAUACAACUCAAAAACACUGCAUUUCAUUAAUGAUAUAAUUAAUAAAUACGAACAAUUUUAACUGAUAUACUGGCUUUCAUCCGAGGUGGAUUUCGAUAAAAAUGGUCGAGGAGUUCCAAAUGUAAUUGAGUCCUCUGAUGUCCCGCCAAAAAAACUUGCUAUUGAUUAAACAGUUAAUGCAACAUACUAGGUAUCAAUAUUUUGUCAGAAUGAAAAACAAAUAUUUACAUUGCCGUAGUCUUAUUUAUAGCGCAAUAACUGAUUCAUCAACAUUAACCGAUCUGUGCUAUUGCGGAAUUAUUAUUUUUAUUGCUUAACUCUUAUAGGAAAAGGCCGUCAUUUGUCAAUUUGUAUCUAUCCAUUAUAAGUACAAGCAUGAACGCAGGGGCAUGAGUUCACACAAUGUGGAUGAGGACCUGUAUCUGAAAAUACUUACCAAACAUAUUUGCAUUCAUGGUUUUGGCAUCACCAUUUGAAAGAAUAAUGUCCUUAAAGGAGUUAAUUACGUGUAUAUGCCUGUUUAAACAACACGAAUGUCGUGGUAGAUGAAUGAUGUGUCAUUGGUUGCAAUAUUCAAUAUUUAAUAUUCAAAUCAUUUAUGCCAUAUGUGUGUUAUAACAUCUGACAAUUGUGUUGUAUGUUUUAAUAAUUAUACGGUCUAACUGGUAAAUUAUGUUUGAAACUUAUUUAUUUGUAUAUUGGUAGUAUAUAUUUAUAAACAAUAUUUGUGUAAAAUAAAAAAAUAAACAUA